rnacentral:rRNA from 1 species
GAUGAACGCUGGCGGCGUGCCUAAUACAUGCAAGUCGAGCGAACGGACGAGAAGCUUGCUUUUCUGAUGUUAGCGGCGGACGGGUGAGUAACACGUGGAUAACCUACCUAUAAGACUGGGAUAACUUCGGGAAACCGGAGCUAAUACCGGAUAAUAUUUUGAACCGCAUGGUUCAAAAGUGAAAGACGGUCUUGCUGUCACUUAUAGAUGGAUCCGCGCUGCAUUAGCUAGUUGGUAAGGUAACGGCUUACCAAGGCAACGAUGUAUAGCCGACCUGAGAGGGGGAUCGGCCACACUGGAACUGAGACACGGUCCAGACUCCUACGGGAGGCAGCAGUAGGGAAUCUUCCGCAAUGGGCGAAAGCCUGACGGAGCAACGCCGCGUGAGUGAUGAAGGUCUUCGGAUCGUAAAACUCUGUUAUUAGGGAAGAACAUAUGUGUAAGUAACUGUGCACAUCUUGACGGUACCUAAUCAGAAAGCCACGGCUAACUACGUG